rnacentral:rRNA from 1 species
UACGUAGGGUGCAAGCGUUGUCCGGAAUUAUUGGGCGUAAAGAGCUCGUAGGCGGUUUGUCGCGUCUGCUGUGAAAUCUGGGGGCUCAACCCCCAGCCUGCAGUCGAUACGGGCGGACUUGAGUACUGCAGGGGAGACUGGAAUUCCUGGUGUAGCGGUGAAAUGCGCAGAUAUCAGGAGGAACACCGGUGGCGAAGGCGGGUCUCUGGGCAGUAACUGACGCUGAGGAGCGAAAGCGUGGGGAGCGAACAGG